rnacentral:rRNA from 1 species
CCACAACAGGUGGAGCCUGCGGUUUAAUCGGGCUCAACGCCGGGAAUCUCACCGGAUAAGACAGCUGGAUGAUAGCCGGGCUGAAGACUCUGCUUGACUAGCUGAGAGGAGGUGCAUGGCCGUCGUCAGUUCGUACUGUGAAGCAUCCUGUUAAGUCAGGCAACGAGCGAGACCCACGCCAACAGUUGCCAGCAUGUCCUCCGGGAUGAUGGGGACACUGUUGGGACCGCCUCUGCUAAAGAGGAGGAAGGAAUGGGCAACGGUAGGUCAGCAUGCCCCGAAUUAUCCGGGCUACACGCGGGCUACAAUGGUCAGGACAAUGGGUAUCAACACCGAAAGGUGAAGGCAAUCUCCUAAACCUGUCCUUAGUUCGGAUUGUGGGCUGCAACUCGCCCACAUGAAGCUGGAAUCUGUAGUAAUCGCGUCUCAAAAUGGCGCGGUGAAUAUGUCCCUGCUCCUU